ACGGCAGCGCGGGGCAACCUGGCGGCGAGUGGCGAACGGGUGAGUAAUAUAUCGGAACGUACCCAAGAGUGGGGGAUAACGUAGCGAAAGUUACGCUAAUACCGCAUACGAUCUAUGGAUGAAAGCAGGGGACCUUCGGGCCUUGUGCUCCUGGAGCGGCCGAUAUCUGAUUAGCUAGUUGGUGGGGUAAAGGCCCACCAAGGCAUCGAUCAGUAGCUGGUCUGAGAGGACGACCAGCCACACUGGAACUGAGACACGGUCCAGACUCCUACGGGAGGCAGCAGUGGGGAAUUUUGGACAAUGGGCGCAAGCCUGAUCCAGCAAUGCCGCGUGAGUGAAGAAGGCCUUCGGGUUGUAAAGCUCUUUUGUCAGGGAAGAAACGGUGAAGGCUAAUAUCCUUUGCUAAUGACGGUACCUGAAGAAUAAGCACCGGCUAACUACGUGCCAGCAGCCGCGGUAAUACGUAGGGUGCAAGCGUUAAUCGGAAUUACUGGGCGUAAAGCGUGCGCAGGCGGUUUUGUAAGUUUGUCGUGAAAUCCCCGGGCUCAACCUGGGAAUGGCGAUGAAGACUGCAAGGCUAGAGUUUGGCAGAGGGGGGUAGAAUUCCACGUGUAGCA
rnacentral:rRNA from 1 species